ACGCUCGACACCUACGGGAGGCAGCAGUGGGGAAUAUUGGGCAAUGGAGGAAACUCUGACCCAGCAACGCCGCGUGAAUGAUGAAGGUCUUUGGAUUGUAAAGUUCUUUUCUAAGGGACGAAGAAAGUGACGGUACCUUAGGAAUAAGCCUCGGCUAACUACGUGCCAUCAGCCGCGGUAAUCUGAGCGGGCUGGCAAGGC
rnacentral:rRNA from 1 species